GAAACCCAUAGCUCACAGGAUAUAACAUGUGGCUGGGUUGUGGAGUUUAGGUAUAUCCUGUUAAACUGAAUGGAGCAAGAAGCUGAUACAGCCUUUGGAAAUGCAUGUAGAGAAAUAUGUUGGUGGAGAACAGUAACUUUCUCCAGAAUAUCUUUUUGGGAAAGCUGUGGAAGGAGUCUGGCUGCCUCAUUUGAAGGUCCUGCUGGAGCCAGGAAACCACUCUCCUGAGACAGAAUAAACCCUACAUUGUCUCCUCUUUCCUGUGAUUC
rnacentral:lncRNA from 1 species